rnacentral:rRNA from 1 species
AAAUUGAAGAGUUUGAUCAUGGCUCAGAUUGAACGCUGGCGGCAGGCCUAACACAUGCAAGUCGAGCGGUAGCACAGAGAGCUUGCUCUCGGGUGACGAGCGGCGGACGGGUGAGUAAUGUCUGGGAAACUGCCUGAUGGAGGGGGAUAACUACUGGAAACGGUAGCUAAUACCGCAUAACGUCGCAAGACCAAAGUGGGGGACCUUCGGGCCUCAUGCCAUCAGAUGUGCCCAGAUGGGAUUAGCUAGUAGGUGGGGUAACGGCUCACCUAGGCGACGAUCCCUAGCUGGUCUGAGAGGAUGACCAGCCACACUGGAACUGAGACACGGUCCAGACUCCUACGGGAGGCAGCAGUGGGGAAUAUUGCACAAUGGGCGCAAGCCUGAUGCAGCCAUGCCGCGUGUGUGAAGAAGGCCUUCGGGUUGUAAAGCACUUUCAGCGGGGAGGAAGGCGGUGAGGUUAAUAACCUCACCGAUUGACGUUACCCGCAGAAGAAGCACCGGCUAACUCCGUGCCAGCAGCCGCGGUAAUACGGAGGGUGCAAGCGUUAAUCGGAAUUACUGGGCGUAAAGCGCACGCAGGCGGUCUGUCAAGUCGGAUGUGAAAUCCCCGGGCUCAACCUGGGAACUGCAUUCGAAACUGGCAGGCUAGAGUCUUGUAGAGGGGGGUAGAAUUCCAGGUGUAGCGGUGAAAUGCGUAGAGAUCUGGAGGAAUACCGGUGGCGAAGGCGGCCCCCUGGACAAAGACUGACGCUCAGGUGCGAAAGCGUGGGGAGCAAACAGGAUUAGAUACCCUGGUAGUCCACGCCGUAAACGAUGUCGAUUUGGAGGUUGUGCCCUUGAGGCGUGGCUUCCGGAGCUAACGCGUUAAAUCGACCGCCUGGGGAGUACGGCCGCAAGGUUAAAACUCAAAUGAAUUGACGGGGGCCCGCACAAGCGGUGGAGCAUGUGGUUUAAUUCGAUGCAACGCGAAGAACCUUACCUGGUCUUGACAUCCACAGAACUUUCCAGAGAUGGAUUGGUGCCUUCGGGAACUGUGAGACAGGUGCUGCAUGGCUGUCGUCAGCUCGUGUUGUGAAAUGUUGGGUUAAGUCCCGCAACGAGCGCAACCCUUAUCCUUUGUUGCCAGCGGUCCGGCCGGGAACUCAAAGGAGACUGCCAGUGAUAAACUGGAGGAAGGUGGGGAUGACGUCAAGUCAUCAUGGCCCUUACGACCAGGGCUACACACGUGCUACAAUGGCAUAUACAAAGAGAAGCGACCUCGCGAGAGCAAGCGGACCUCAUAAAGUAUGUCGUAGUCCGGAUUGGAGUCUGCAACUCGACUCCAUGAAGUCGGAAUCGCUAGUAAUCGUAGAUCAGAAUGCUACGGUGAAUACGUUCCCGGGCCUUGUACACACCGCCCGUCACACCAUGGGAG